rnacentral:rRNA from 1 species
AUUGAACGCUGGCGGCAUGCCUAACACAUGCAAGGCGAACGGCAGCACGGGAGCUUGCUCCUGGUGGCGAGUGGCGGACGGGUGAGUAAUGCAUAGGAAUCUGCCCAGUAGCGGGGGACAACUUGGGGAAACUCAAGCUAAUACCGCAUGCGCCCUACGGGGGAAAGCGGGGGACCUUCGGGCCUCGCACUAUUGGAUGAGCCUAUGUCAGAUUAGCUUGUUGGUGGGGUAACGGCCUACCAAGGCGACGAUCUGUAGCUGGUCUGAGAGGACGAUCAGCCACACUGGGACUGAGACACGGCCCAGACUCCUACGGGAGGCAGCAGUGGGGAAUAUUGCACAAUGGGCGAAAGCCUGAUGCAGCCAUGCCGCGUGAUAGAUGAAGGCCCUCUGGGUUGUAAAUAUCUUUUAUCUGGGAAGAAACUCCUCUAUUCUUAGAGGCCUGACGGUACCAGAGGAAUAAGCACCGGCUAACUCCGUG